CUCCGUCUACUGCACCAACACCAAUUGGCGGAUUGCUGGAGAGCGCUGAACCCAACAACGCGGGACUACACGUUUUACUCACAGACCCAUGCAACAUACACGAGGCUAGACUACUUCUUACUAGCACACCACGACUUGGCCCUACUCAAGGCAGCAGACAUACUGCCGAUGACGUGGUCGGACCACUGCCCGAUCCGUAUACGGAUGGCAUCACCGUUAUUUAAACCCAGACAGAUGUCCUGGAGACUGAACGAAUCAAUUCUAUCGGAUGUGACAGUGGCUGAUAAAAUAGGCCAAACCAUACGAGACUACUUCCAAGAUAAUGAAACGGAGGACGUGACACCAAUGACAUGCUGGGAAGCACACAAGACGGUAGCAAGAGGCCAGAUUAUAGCAAUAUGCGCGAAUCGCAAAAAGACGGCGGUACGGGAAAUAACCAGGCUGAGCAGCGAAAUUGCGACCCUGGAAGCCAGACAUAAAAGAACCUUAGAAACAACAAUAUACAGAGAGCUAACAGAUAAACGCAACCAGCUCACAGCGCACCUUAACAGGAGGAUCCAACGCGUGUACGAACACUACAGACACAUGAUACAUGAACACGGAGACAAGUGCGGGAGACUGCUGGCGAAUCUCCUGAGGCAACGUAAGACACAACUGUAUAUACCGAAAAUAAAAAACGCACAGCAGCAAAUCAGACACCUCCCAGAACAAAUAGCAACGGAGUUCCAACGAUACUACCAGGACCUUUACCACCUCCGCAAGGAAGCACAGGACGACCAGAGACAUCAGAAAACGGCAGACAUACGCCAGUACCUGAACUCAGCAAACAUGCCAGAUAUAACGGAAGCAGAGAAAGACGCACUAGAAGCGCCUAUAACAC